UAUUGGACAAUGGGGGAAACCCUUAUCCAGCGACGCCGCGUGAGUGAAGAAGUAUUUCGGUAUGUAAAGCUCGAUCAGCAGGGAAGAAAGAAAUGACGGUACCUGAGUAAGAAGCCCCGGCUAACUACGUGCCAGCAGCCGCGGUAAUACGUAGGGGGCCAGCGUUAUCCGGAUUUACUGGGUGUAAAGGGAGCGUAGACGGCAGCGCGAGUCUGAAGUGAAAUGCCAGGGCUUAACCCUGGAACUGCUUUGGAAACUGUGCAGCUAGAGUGCAGGAGAGGUAAGUGGAAUUUCUAGUGUAGCGGUGAAAUGCGUAGAUAUUAGGAGGAACACCAGUGGCGAAGGCGGCUUACUGGACUGUAACUGACGUUGAGGCUCGAAAGCGUGAGGAGCAAACAGG
rnacentral:rRNA from 1 species